AGCGUUUUUCGCCCAGGCGGAGCUCGACCGCAAACUCGGGUCGUAGUCGACUACAUCGAGACCCAUCGUGACCGCUUCGGGGUCGAGCCGAUCUGUGCCGUGCUGUCCGAGCACGACAUCUCGAUCGCCCCG
rfam:Microlunatus phosphovorus NM-1 DNA, complete genome.